rnacentral:rRNA from 1 species
AGUGAACGCUGGCGGCGUGCUUAACACAUGCAAGUCGAGCGGUAACAGGCGUAGCAAUACGUGCUGACGAGCGGCGAACGGGUGAGCAAUGCUUCGGAAUCUUCCUUGUAGUGGGGAAUAACCUGGGGAAACUCAGGCUAAUGCCGCAUACGAACCAUGGUUGAAAGCGGGGGAUCGCAAGACCUCGCGCUAUAAGAUGAGCCGAAGUCGGAUUAGCUAGUUGGUGGGGUAAAGGCCUACCAAGGCGACGAUGCGUAGCUGGUCUGAGAGGACGACCAGCCACACUGGGACUGAGACACGGCCCAGACUCCUACGGGGGGCAGCAGUGGGGAAUAUUGGACAAUAGGGGCAACCCUGAUCCAGCGACGCCGCGUGUGUGAAGAAGGCCUGCGGGUUGUAAAGCACUUUUAGUGGGGACAAAAAGCCGAGGGCUAAUACCUUUCGGUCUUGAUUUAACCCAAAGAAAAAGCACCGGCUAACUCUGUGCCAGCCGCCGCCGUAAAAC